GUACUUACUCCUACGGGAGGCAGCAGUGGGGAAUAUUGGACGAUGGGGGGAACCCUGAUCCAGCCAUGCCGCGUGUGUGAAGAAGGCCUUUUGGUUGUAAAGCACUUUAAGCGAGGAGGAGGCUACCGAGAUUAAUACUCUUGGAUAGUGGACGUUACUCGCAGAAUAAGCACCGGCUAACUCUGUGCCAGCAGCCGCGGUAAUACAGAGGGUGCGAGCGUUAAUCGGAUUUACUGGGCGUAAAGCGCGCGUAGGUGGCCAAGUAAGUCAAAUGUGAAAUCCCCGAGCUUAACUUGGGAAUUGCGUUCGAUACUGGUUGGUUGGAGUAUGGGAGAGGAUGGUAGAAUUCCAGGUGUAGCGGUGAAAUGCGUAGAGAUCUGGAGGAAUACCGAUGGCGAAGGCAGCCAUCUGGCCUAAUACUGACACUGAGGUGCGAAAGCAUGGGGAGCAAACAGGAUUAGAUACCCGAGUAGUCCAGGCAU
rnacentral:rRNA from 1 species